GAUGAACGCUGGCGGCGUGCCUAAUACAUGCAAGUCGAGCGAAUGGAUUAAGAGCUUGCUCUUAUGAAGUUAGCGGCGGACGGGUGAGAAACACGUGGGUAACCUGCCCAUAAGACUGGGAUAACUCCGGGAAACCGGGGCUAAUACCGGAUAACAUUUUGAACCGCAUGGUUCGAAAUUGAAAGGCGGCUUCGGCUGUCACUUAUGGAUGGACCCGCGUCGCAUUAGCUAGUUGGUGUGGUAACGGCUCACCAAGGCAACGAUGCGGAGCCGACCUGGGAGGGUGAUCGGCCACACUGGGACUGAGACACGGCCCAGACUCCUACGGGAGGCAGCAGUAGGGAAUCUUCCGCAAUGGACGAAAGUCUGACGGAGCAACGCCGCGUGAGUGAUGAAGGCUUUCGGGUCGUAAAACUCUGUUGUUAGGGAAGAACAAGUGCUAGUUGAAUAAGCUGGCACCUUGACGGUACCUAACCAGAAAGCCACGGCUAACUACGUGCCAGCCGCCGCUGUAA
rnacentral:rRNA from 1 species